AGUGGCGCACGGGUGCGUAACACGUAUGUAACCUACCUUGUUCAGGGGGAUAGCCUCUCGAAAGAGAGAUUAAGACCGCAUAACAUUAUGAUAUGGCAUCGUAUUAUAAUCAAAUAUUUAUAGGAACAAGAUGGGCAUGCGGAACAUUAGCUAGUUGGUAAGGUAACGGCUUACCAAGGCUACGAUGUUUAGGGGAUCUGAGAGGAUGACCCCCCACACUGGUACUGAGACACGGACCAGACUCCUACGGGAGGCAGCAGUAAGGAAUAUUGGUCAAUGGGCGGAAGCCUGAACCAGCCAUGCCGCGUGCAGGAAGACGGCCCUACGGGUUGUAAACUGCUUUUGUACCAGAAUAAACCUUCUUUCGUGAAAGAAGCUGAAUGUAUGGUAAGAAUAAGGAUCGGCUAACUCCGUGCCAGCAGCCGCGGUAAUACGGAGGAUCCAAGCGUUAUCCGGAUUUAUUGGGUUUAAAGGGUGCGUAGGUGGCUUAUUAAGUCAGGGGUGAAAGACGGUAGCUUAACUAUCGCAGUGCCUUUGAUACUGAUGAGCUUGAAUGAACUAGAGGUAGGCGGAAUGUGACAAGUAGCGGUGAAAUGCAUAGAUAUGUCACAGAACACCAAUUGCGAAGGCAGCUUACUAUGGUUAUAUUGACACUGAGGCACGAAAGCGUGGGGAUCAAACAGGAUUAGAUACCCUGGUAGUCCACGCCCUAAACGAUGAAUACUCGAUGUUGGCGAUAUACGGUCAGCGUCUAAGCGAAAGCGUUAAGUAUUCCACCUGGGGAGUACGCCCGCAAGGGUGAAACUCAAAGGAAUUGACGGGGGCCCGCACAAGCGGAGGAGCAUGUGGUUUAAUUCGAUGAUACGCGAGGAACCUUACCCGGGCUUGAAAGU
rnacentral:rRNA from 1 species